rnacentral:rRNA from 1 species
CCCUUAGAUGUUCUGGGCCGCACGCGCGCUACACUGAUUCAUGCAACAAGUUUUGUCCUUGGCUGAUAGGCCUGGGUAAUCUUUGAACGUGAAUCGUGAUGGGGAUAGAUGAUUGCAAUUAUUCAUCUUCAACGAGAAAUUCCUAGUAAACGCAAGUCAUCAGCUUGCAUUGAUUACGUCCCUGCCCUUUGUACACACCGCCCGUCGCACCUACCGAUUGAAUGGUCCGGUGAAAUCUUCGGAUCUGAGAGAUAUCUGAUUAAUUUCGGACGCCUUUUGGAAAAGUUGCUUAAACCUUACCAUUUAGAGGAAGGUGAAGUCGUAACA